UUCUAAUGUUUUAACCAAUUUUAUCAUGAAGUAGAAGUUAAAGAGUUGUAAAUAUUGGAAUUAUAAAAUCUUUUGCUACCAGGUGGUGAUUGACAAAGGAGCCACAACCCACAAGGCAGUGUAGGAUGACUGUGAUGGAUGAUAAAGCUGUUAACAUUUUAUUUGAUUGAAAGAGGUUGAACCUGUUCGACCGUGUGAGAUGUUUGUGCACGUACAUACCUACAUUACGACUAAUCAAACUGAAAAUGAUUGUCAUUUUCUUCAAAGUGCAGUUGCUUUCUGUAAAGGUGAAUCUUCUUUUUUUUGUAUUUUGAGAACACAGCACGUGGUCAAAUUUAGACGUUAAUCAAAGGCACUUGCUACCGGAAUUCUCCACAAACGGAAUUGUCAGCCAGGUUAAGUUGAAGCUGUUUGCUGUUGCUGUCUUAUGCAGAACACUCUACUUGCCAUCUUGCUGCUUUCUGACUGCAUAAAUUGGGAAGCUGCCUUUUUUGCAUAUUUACAACAGCUUGUUACUUGUUUUUGCUUCAUACCUGAUUUGUUUCAUAGGUUUUGUCACUGUGUUGACGUUUAACUAAUAACUGAAAUUACCUGUGGUGUUGCAGUCCAAUGUUCUGUUGCCUGCCUGUUCCCUGGUUUAAUUAGUACUCAAACAAAAUUGAAUUUACGAUGGAGGUCAUUCUUCCGUUUCUGUGUCGGUAUGGAAGUGGUUGAGCA